CCUUGGUUUCCUGCAUUUGCCCGAUAUCUGUGGUGUAAAUACUUUCCCCAUGGUGGCUUUCAAGCUACCAAGGAUUCACAACCGGCUCACAGAAUUCCUGAAAAUUUAACAAUCCACUCUCAUGCGCCUGCUGCAGCCAUUUCCAGCCCACCUCUGUAGCUCUCUAAAAAGCAGGGCCUCGUGGAUGAGACUAGAGAGGGGAGAUGUAGCUGGCUCUGUUUAAUUCUGUGAGGUCAAACCACACCUGGGAGGGUGUGUCUGGUUUCAAAGCCUACAUUGUAAGAGGAACAUAGGCACACUGAAAAUUGUUUGAUUUGGGCAAGAAGCAAUUUCGUCUGAAAAACCCACCGGGAGACCUAUUGCUGGAAUGAGAAUCCAGGGGAAGAAAAACACAGGGUAUCCUGGCCAUUGUUUCCAAAUCUCUGUGGGGCUGUAAGGGCCCUGAGUGCACCUGAGAAUGCUGAAAAGAAAAGCCAAGUUCACGGACAAAAAAAGAAUCACCCAAGCUGCUUUCACCUGCCUGUGAUUUCCCAAGAAGCCAGUUUGUCUUUAAGAAGUGAGACCCAUUUGAGAAUGAGUAAUGUCUUAGGCUCUUUAGUCUAAUGCUUAGAGAAUUCCACUUUCUUCUUUCGCUCGGCCUCCCCCUGAGCUCCCCUUUCUCUGUCCCCAACUCCAUUUUAUUUAAUCUUUCUAAAUGGAUAUUGUAGCCUCAGGGACUAAAAGAAUGACACAUGGAUAAACAGGAACUAAGCUCCUAAGCUUUUCACCUACCUGCCAUCUUCCUCACCACGCAUGGGGAUUAGAAGCGUCACAAAGAAAGCAGUCUCGGAAGUUUGUCAAAUAGAGAUUUCUGGGUGAUGGUUUGGGAAAGGAUGAUUUAGAUCGUGCCUCUCCUGGGUGAGGAAAGUGACUGAAACUCAUAACAGCAGAGAACUUGAAGUGCUGGUUUGAGCUUCAGGAGAUGUGAGUUCUAGCCCCAGUGCUGCCUGUGAUUUUCUCUGUGACCUGGGACAAGUCCCUUGUGGAUACGACAGGAUGUGCGGGCUACAAGGAUCUCUGAGACUUCUCCCAGGUAGGCAAAGUGGAGUGUCAGACUAAGCUGGGCUCAAAAGUUUGUCCUGACACUAGUUAACAGCAAAGUCUUCAAAUCACAGGCAACUCUUAAGAGUUGCACUUGCUUCGCUGUAAAAAACGGGAGAAUUAAUGAAUCACUGUGAAGACUAAAUGAGAUAAUGGAUGGGGCACACCUCACUGGGUGUGUGAUACUUGGUAGGUGUCUUUUUAAAGCAUAAUUCCUAUAAAAACCAAAACUAUGGUUUAAAAAAAGGCUCGGAGGUAAAAAUUAGAAGGAAAGGAAAGUAAAAGAAUAUUAACAGUCAACACCAGUGUAAGCCAUUCACAAGACACAAAGUCCCUUUCACAUAUAUGAUCUUAGGUAAUCUGGGCAACAACCUUGAAGAAGAGAAAAGCACCACAUGUAUUGAUCUCUUUGAGUGGGCCAUUCACUGUCCUAGUUUUUCACAAUCAUCUUGGUGGGUUAUUUUCCUAUUUUGAAGGCCAGGGUCCAAGAUUACCCAACUGGUGAGUGUUGGAGCCAGCUCGGGUGAUUUUGGUUUGAAACCUCUAAAUCCCAUGACACAGAAGUGGCAGGAUCAAUGUGGAAAGCAAGGCAGCAAAAUGAUGAGGUGCUAAAAACUAAUGACCUAGAUGAAGGAAAGAAAUAUUUACACAACAUCAUAUGCUUCUUUCACAGUUGUCAUGCAACAUCAUAGUACUUUGCUGAUUCAGUCAUUUCACAGAGUAAUUAGCGUCUGUCUCUGAAAAAUAAAAUACUGCAAUUGGCUGCCGUCUCUAGGACUUUGUGACUUCCUUUGGACAGGUGGUUGCAAAAAGCCUACACCUUUAAAAGUGCCCCCUGAAAGUUAAUGAAUCACUGUGAAGACUAAAUGAGAUAAUGGAUGCGACACAACUCUCUGGGUACCCAGAAUGGAGGAGAUAGUAGGCCAUGGCAGAUGGUAGGGGAGAAGCUGGCUUCAGACAAUCUACAGAAACCCAGUUUCCUGAUUUUUCUGUGCAAGGAAUAGCACAGGCAUCUGAUAAUUCCACUAUUCUCUCUGGCUGGUGGCCUUCUCUUUGAAAGACUGCAUGGUUUCAGUUCAGUUUCAUAUAGAUCUGUGUGUAGAUCUGUACAGUGAUAACAUUCCUUUGUGCUAAGUCAGUCCAAGAUAACUAACCUGUUUCCAAGAUCUAAUUUUGUAUGUGGGAAUCUUGCCUUGCCCUGAUUUCCAGACCCAUAGGCAGGCUUGCAGGCUGUAGCUGGGGAAGACCCCAUGCUUAUUCUGGUGCCCUGAGCAAGGCCUCCUGCUCUACUAUUAGGCAGAAGCACCUGUUCUGCCACAGGAGGCGCUGUCUUUUGCUGGCAGAGCUCAGUUUCCCUUAAGGGGAAGUUCCUUAGGAUUUAAGGCCUCAUGACUAUCUCAAAACCCAUGUUUGUUUGCCAAUAAAGAAAAUAAAUAAAGUGUA